rnacentral:rRNA from 1 species
AUUGAACGCUGGCGGCAUGCUUUACACAUGCAAGUCGAACGGGCUGGGGGCAACUCCAGUCAGUGGCGAACGGGUGAGUAAUGCAUCGGAACGUGUCCCGUAGUGGGGGAUAACCCGGCGAAAGCCGGACUAAUACCGCAUAUGCUCUACGGAGGAAAGUGGGGGACCGCAAGGCCUCACGCUAUGGGAGCGGCCGAUGUCCGAUUAGCUUGUUGGUGGGGUAAUGGCCUACCAAGGCGACGAUCGGUAGCUGGUCUGAGAGGAUGAUCAGCCACACUGGGACUGAGACACGGCCCAGACUCCUACGGGAGGCAGCAGUGGGGAAUUUUGGACAAUGGGGGCAACCCUGAUCCAGCCAUGCCGCGUGCGGGAAGAAGGCCUGG